UACGUAGGGUGCGAGCGUUGUCCGGAAUUAUUGGGCGAAAGAGCUCGUAGGUGGCCUGUCGCGUCGGCUGUGAAAACUCGGGCUCAACUCCGAGCUUGCAGUCGAUACGGGCAGGCUAGAGUUCGGCAGGGGAGACUGGAAUUCCUGGUGUAGCGGUGAAAUGCGCAGAUAUCAGGAGGAACACCGGUGGCGAAGGCGGGUCUCUGGGCCGAUACUGACACUGAGGAGCGAAAGCGUGGGGAGCGAACAGG
rnacentral:rRNA from 1 species